AAGGAAGUCAUACUGGGUAUGAGGUUGGCUUGAAAGGGACUUUAGGGGCUUCAAUACCUCCCUUUCUUG
rnacentral:tRNA from 1 species